UGUUUCAUUUUGCAUUUAGUCUGAUUUAAGUCUUUCAACGAAAAAGUCAUUGAAUUAAUGGUGAUCGGAAUUGCGGUCGGGCUCUCUUCUUCGUCCAGGAUGAAGGAGACAUCACUCUUUCUACUGAAAAUAGUUACUACCAUGCCUACUUAAUGUGAGCUGACCACGGAAGAGGAGGAAGAGCGUUGUGGCGCCAUUUGCUGUCCGAUGGUUAAGCCAUUACGCCGGUACGAUGCCAUAUGCAAGGGGAAGGAUUCAACGAUCACCGAACUCAAGGACCAAGUCCGAGAGAAAGAUGUUUACAUCGAAGCUCGGAGGCAAUGGAAAUACAGAUAAUAGAUGAUAAUCUAGUGUCUACUAUGAAGAAAAGCAAGCAACUUCUGGCUUCAUCGAUCCUAAAUAAGGAUAAGAAAAUGAAUUAUGUACUUGGGAAGAGUCUAAGCCCAAUGACACAAAAGUUCCAAUCGAUGGGUAGACAUAAUUCUAUAACCCAGCUAAUGGAAGAUCAAAUUACAGAUCUUGAGUAAAAUAAAAAAAGAGUAAAAAGGUAAAAGUGUGAAAAGUCCAUUCGCGAACUGGAAAUGGAAAUCAAAGAAAAAUCGUAUCAGUUAUAAAGAAGUGCUCUAUAAACGGUAAAUCAGACGUUAUCAAUGGAUGAUCAAUUUGCAAACUUCACAAUAUGAGGUUGCACGAAAUAAACCCACUCCUUGUGCCCCGCCAAUCAAGUGCCUUUGGAUCUGGCUGGACUGUAAUCCUGAAACGAGUCAACGGCAAUGAGAGCCGACCACAAAUUAACGUUUGGAAACCUAAUCCUACGGGAGAACUUCUUCAUUGGAUAAUCGUAUAUUUGUAUAUAGACCCCAUAAUGUAUAUAUAUAUAUUCUUGAUCAGCAAUUUUAAUGGAUCAUCAUCAUAUGGUAAACAAACAACAUUAUUGAGGCAUAUAUAAUUCAUUAACUAAUUUUUUCUUCAAAUCUCCCUCCUAUAAAAUGUAACCUCUUCAAUAAGGAUGAUCAUAUCAUUGAAGCCUUCUGACCUCCCAUUUAUUGUGCGCACCUUCGCUUCUAAUUUAUCUAAUUUUAUUUUUCUUUAAUUUCCAUUUCAAGCUCGCGAAUGAACUUUGACAGUCUUAUUUUGUGAUUUAAGAUUGGAAAUCCGAUAUUCAAUCAGCUGUGUUGUCAAUUGAAUUUUAAUUGUUAUUAGGCCUAGUCCAUUUCCAACUAGAUCAUCAAUUUUCUUAUCCUUCUUUACGAUCGAUGAAGACAGAAGUUGGUCGCUUUUCUUUAUAGUAGACACUAGAUUAUCAUCUGUUGUCUGUAUUUCCAUUGACCUGUCGAGUUCAAGCUUGCUUUCCAAUUGGGCGAUGCACACAUCUUUCUCUCUGAUUUGGUCAUUGAGUUCGUUGAUCGUUGAAUCCUUCCCCUGGCAUAGGGCAGCGUACCGGAGUAACGGCUUCACAAUCGGAUAGCAAAUGGCACCACACCGCUCAUCGUCCUCCUCCCGGGUCAUCUCACAUUACUAGAGACGGAAUGAAAUAUUACAGCAUGCUCGUAACUAUUUUCCGUAGGCAGAGUGAUGUCUCUUUCCCCUUGGGGGAAGAACUGGGCCAGAGUCCAACAUAUUGGCAUAACUUUUCAUACAAUGAAUUUUCACGUUGUAAGACUUAAAUCCCACUAAACGCAAAAUGGCAGACUCUAAAAUCUUCUUAUUAAAUAAAAUGUAAAAUAUAAGCGACUUGGAUGUUUUAUAUCGCAAUAAUCGUAA